AAUUCAAGUACUUUACUUUAUAGUACUAUAAAUUACUAUAGUAUUUUUUUACCUGGGCAUGUUUACCCUACAAUACAUGUUAUGAGCAUGUCUCUUCAUUUUGACAUUGUUUUUGUAAUGUUGAUUGAGGCAUUUGACAAUUUUAAUAGUCAGACAUAACAGAGAGGCCAUCAUAAUAAUAAUACCACGUGUUAGACUGUGUCAUGUACUGUGUUCUCUGUAAGUGAUUUCAGUGCAGGCAAUAUAUGACAAAAGAAUAAUAAAUAAAUUGGUCAAGUACUAGGCUUAGGCCUAAUUUAUGUCUAUUUAUUUAUAUGAAAUGAACUUAAAAUGUUUGAUUUGACCAAUCGGACUCUCUCUUUUUCAAGAAACACAUAACAAUCCAAGAAGGAAGAUCCUUUCCUGGACUUAAGAGAUGCACCACAUGCUGCAAGGAGUUCCUCUGCCCGUUCUGCAGUUCUGCUUUGUUUCACCCAACAAAGUGGAGCAAAGUGAAAUCCCAUUUGGAGAGCCAUUUCAAAUGCAGUUCUCUAUGAAGACCAUCAUAUAUGGCCUGGCUGGGCCGCAAAAUUUCGGAUUAUCAUCACAUGUAAGAGUAGAAAAUUUAUUUUUUUUACACAGUGUCCAGUGUAUCAUUUUUUUAAGCAUUAACAGUAUUUCUGUUAACCCAGCAGUGGUUAUGUUCUCCAUUUACUAUUUUAGUGAAGUGGAAGAAAAGAGAAAAGAGGGGAGAGCAUCCGUUGGCUGGUAGUGCUGCUGCAUACUUCACAAUCUGUACUUUAAAUAUUUAAAGGUCAGGAAAAGUCAUGUCAAUAACAUGUUAUUUCUAUUCAGAUUUCUUGCAUCUCUCUCUAUUAUUUUUUUUUUCUCAGUUCAGAUGGGCUUUAUUGACCUGAAAGUUUCAAGAACCUUUGUUCCCACAGCAUCAAAAUAUUUUUUUUUCCAAAUCUUUGAACAGUAUGCAAUAACAGUAAUAUGAACAUUAAUUGGUAUGAAGAUUGAUAUAAUUAUUUUUGUAUCGUAUAUAAUGCGUGUGCUCUGUGGUGACUAAGAUCUUUUAAAUAUGACCUUUAAAAUUAGAGAGUUGAACAUGAGAGUUGUUCCUUAUUUCAUUCACUUCUCUCUCGCUCUCUCUCUCUCUCAGGAGUCAGUGAGGACGUUGUCGCUGAAGUUCUUUCUGUGUGGUUCACGUCAUGAACAAAUUUGUUUUUGUGUGUUCAACUGUUGUAAUAUAUUAUUUUAUAAAAUAUACACAAUCUUAAAUCUA